AUGGAUGUUAACGGCAGCCACCCGGACCUCUACGGGCGCCUCCGCUCUUCCCUCCUGCCAGAGGUGGGGGGCAGGCUGCCCGACCUGAGCCCCGACGGUGGCGCCGACCAGGUCGCGGGCUCCGGUACGCCGCAUCUGCUGAGCGGGGUCCCCGAGGUGACGGCCAGCCUGGCGCCCACCUGGGACGCACCCCCGGACAAUGCCUCCGGCCGCGGGGAGCAAAUCAAGAAAGGGCCGAGAAAGUUGUGAUCGCCUCAGUCCUGACGCUCAUCUAGCUGCUGACGAUCGCAGGCAACUGCCUGGUGGUAUCUCCGUGCGCUUCGUCAAGAAGCUCCGCCAGCCUUCCAACUACCUGAUCGUGUCCAUGGCGCUGGCCAACCUUUCGGUGGUCGUGGCGGUCAUGCCCUUCAUCAGUGUCACCGACCUCAUCGGGGGCAAGUGGAUCUUUGGACACUUUUUCUGUAACGUCUUCUUCUCCAUGAAUGUCAUAUGCUGCACGGCCUGGAUCUUGACCCUGUACGUGAUCAGCAUCGACAGGUACCUUGGGAUCAGGAGGCCUCUCACGUACCCUAUGAGGCAGAAUGGGAAAUGCAUGGCGAAGAUGAUUCUUUCUGUCUGCCUUCUCUCCGCCUCUGUGACUUUACUUCCCACUCUUUGGUUGGGCUCAGAAUGUAAAUGAUGAUAAGGUGUGCUUGGUCAGUCAAGACUUUGGUUACACGAUUUACUCCACCGCAGUGGCAUCCUAAUCUUCAUGUCCGUCAUGCUUUUCAUGUACUACCAGAUUUACAAGGCCUUCAGGAAAAGCGCGGCCUAACACAGGUUCCCCGGCUUCCCUCGAGUGAAGCCAGACAGCAGCAGUCACCCCGAAUGGCACAGUGAAGUUCCAGAAGGAGGUGGAAGGGUGUGUAAACCCGUCGAGACUCCUCAGGCAUGAAAGGGAAAAUAUCUCCAUCUUUAAGCCGGAACAGAAAGCGGCGACUACCCUGGGGAUCAUCGUCCGGGCCUUCACCGUGUGCUGGCUCCCCUUUUUCCUCCUCUUGACAGCCAGACCCUUCCUCUGUGACACUGCCUGCAGCUGCAUCCCACUGUUAACGGAGAGGAUAUUUCCAUGGCUGGGCUAUGCAAACUCUCUCUUUAACCCUUUUAUGUAUGACUUCUUCAACCAGGACCUGAGGAUCACCUAUCACAGCCGGCUCCAGUGCCAGUACCAGAAAAUCAACCGGACACUCUCUGCUGCAGGCAUGCAUGAAGCCCUGAAGCUUGCUGAGAGGCCAGAGAGACCUGAGUUUGUCCUACAAAACUCUGACUACUGUAGAAAAAAAGUCAUGAUUUGUGACUGAAAACGGGAUAAUGGAGAUGAAAUAAACAAGGCAAAAUAGAGGUGGAAACAGAAGAAAGUCAUUUGCCAAGACUGCAGAAUGGAAUGUGGCUUCUGUCCUUUCUUAGGAUGGCUAAAAUGUGACAAACAGGGUGACCUGAUGUACAAAAUAUCUUAUGAGGGAGAUGGUGACCUCUCCUUUUUUCCGUGGAUCAGUGUUAUUUUGUGUUCUCAGUUUAAGAUAGCAGAUCAUCUCAGCAGUAAGCACAUUGACAGAGUUGAGUUCCAGAAAGGAAGCAGUUUCAGGUUCUUAGCACAUGUCCAAAUCCAUGCAAGUGGAAGAAAGUUCCAAUGCACACUUCCCAUGCUUCGGAGUCUAGGUCUUGUGGUGAAUAUUCGGGAAUCAUUCAUGAGACAGAAUGUAUUUUGUUGUGUGACAGAAGGGUUUACCAAGCAAACCGUGGUAAGCAUAGUAUUGAAUAUGUUGCAUGUCCAUGUUAGAAAACAGAACCCAGUCAUCAGCUAAUACAAAUGAUUUCCCAGAGCAGUGUUUGUUUCAAGCUUCUGUCAAACAGUUUGGCUUUUCUGCAGGGUCCCUGUAACUUCCCCACUAAUGUAUUUCUUUGUUAACUCCCUUAUUGUUAUGGUGUAGCUCAGGAACAGGUCUCAGGAUGGAGAGCAGCAUACAACCAGAGCAAAGCUUUUUCUUGUGCUCUGAAGGGUCCUGAGACGUGAGGGGGAUGCCUUCCAUGAGGAUUUUUAUCUCAGUGAAGUGCGAGUGGUACCCAACUGUAUUGUCAUUAACAUGAUUAUUGGCAUGUUUUUGACUCUCAUUUUUCACAAGGGUGCAGUGGGGCCAUGGACCAUCCCACAGGAUGGUCCAUAACUGUAAGUUAUAUAGAGAAAGUGUGGGAAUAAUGGGUUGUCCAUGAAAGGUUGUGAUGCUUCUGGAGAUGGGGACAUAAACAUGUUCAUUCUUGUUGAGCAGCAUUGUAUUAAACCAAAUUGUGUGAAGCGGAAGUCACCUGAACCACUCUUGGGAAAUGCUCCAGAACACCAGUCUGUUCCUUCUAGAUACUUUGUUCUCUGUAUUUAUUUUUAUUUUUUAUUUUGAGGCAGUGUCUCACCCACCCUGUCUCCCAGGCUGGAGUGCAGUGGUGCGGACGUGUGCGCUCGGAGACUCCACUCUCUGGGGUUGAAGGUAGAUUCUCCUGCUCUGCCCCAAGUUAGGCUGGAUACAGCACUGCACACAGGCCUGGUAAUGUUUUGAUAUUUUAGUAGAGAGGAUUGUCACGC